UAGUAAGAUGGGGUUAAUGAGCUGACCUCCAGCCUCAGUAGGGUAUAUUCCCUGCCAGGAGCAGCAUUUCAACCCAGGGAGGCAUCAGCAAGGGGGGUCUGUGGACAAAAAUACUUACAAAAAAGAACUUCAAAGGGUGGUUUUAUAUUUUUUUAAAAAAUGCUAUUUUCCAUUGGCUGGGUCUGCUAGCUGACCUUUUCACUGGAAAUUGCUUAGUGUGAGGUUCAGGGAGUGAAACAAGCCUUUAUUUUUUUCACCUCUGUAUUACUCCUGCCUCCUACUCUACCCUGGUUUUUCAGAGCCGGCUUUGCUCAGCCGAGGAAAGCCCAUGGAAAGAGCGCUCAUUGAUUGAUUUAAUUGAUUUUCAUGAAAACUGGUUUUCUGCAGGUUUCUGACCCUCGGUUAACCAUGUUAUACUCCUAUUUCUCUGCUCUCCCCAUCUUCUUGUUCGGGACUUUGAGUGUGGGAAUACAGCCAAGGGGAUCUGAGGUUAUUUUGGGGCAGAUAAUUAAAUAUUUAAAUCCCAGCCAGCAGUCCUAAGGGAUUGAUUUCAGAGCAGGAAACACGGAUUCCUGGCUGGUUUUCUGCUAUACCGGCCCGAUGGUAUAGCAUCCAUCCAUAUGGCAGAUGGUAUAACAUCUCCGUGUUCGUCCCGGGUCUGCAUCUCAUUUCCAUGGGGCACCCAGGGCAUCCCUACAGCUCUGGGUAUUGUCGCCCAUUUAUUGGGCUUUGCUUUAUUUACAAGCUCUUUUUUCCCAAACCCACAGGCUCCUGGGAAAAUGGGAAAGAGCCGGCUCUGCAGCCGCGGGAGCCAGCACGCCGUCUUUAGGGAUGCGAUGUCUGGGCUACCUAAGGAUGCGAAGCCAGGCUCUGUGUUACGGCAAGGGAGCGAAUUUGAAGGCUGCCAUGCCAACAGAGCCUUGCCCACGUGCCCCAGGCUGGACCGCAUCAUUUUCCCAGAGAAAUCCGGGCGCUGCAUCGCUGUCGGUGCCUCCCUCCCUGCAGGGCUGGGACACGCAGCCUUAAGGGCAUCUUAAGGGAAGUCUUGAGCACAGAGCAAAGGAGGGACUUUGCUUGCUCCUGCGCGCCAAAAUACCCUGGAUCAUCAUCAAAGAGGGUUUUUUUUUGGCCAGUUUGGGAGUCCAGCUCCAUUGUCGUAAAAGCAGUGAGUGAUUUUAUUACUUUUUUCCUUCUUUCUGGCUGCAGCGUGGGGGUAACGUGGCAACGGUGACUUUUCUAGCUGUGCUCUGCUACUGGCUAACGAGAUUAUUUUUUAAAUGGAUAAGCAUGCAGUUAUUAAUGCUCCUAUUUGCCUUCCCGUCCCUGAGGGUUUGGUGUAUGCCGAUGUACCCUUGCCAGGUUUUUCUCUGCAGUAGAUGCGCUGCACGUGUGCUCUUUUCUCAUAGCAAAGUCACAAAUAAGGGUAGAAUUAAAAAACUCACCUAUAUAUAAUGAGACAUGAUUAACCUGUAACCAUUGGCAGUGCUAAAUGGUAUUCACUAUCCACGCGGGGGUAAAAGCUGUUUCUUACAUCCCUAUUAAAACAUACUUUAAUAUAAACCACUUCAAAAAAAAAAAAAAAAAAAAAAAAGAGGAAAACCUUUUUGGAACUGCCUAAAAACCCUGUGACUUCAUCUGUGGGAAGUUCAAGGUCAAAAGGUGCCUGGUAAGUGGAGGUACACCCUAAUUCCUUGCACGGGCGAGGGCAUCAGCGCUAUGUGAUGGGUACAGAUGUGCUUUCUCACUGCUCAGCCUUCGCGUUCGGAUGACGCUUGUUUGUCGUGAGCAAUAUUUUAGUGGAGAGUUGCACCGUGUUCAUCCACGUGUACCCUUAGAUCAGCUGCCUCCCUCCAGAGAAAGCAAAGCUUUCUGCCAGAAACUAUUUUCUGGCAGAAUAAUAAUCCAUAUAAUAAAUAUGUGUAGGAAAUAAAUACAUAAAUUCGCUGCACAGGGGGUGAAAAGGUGGCAAGGGUCCACAUCGCAGCUCCACCAUUCCCUGUGAAACUCCCCCUGAAUAAGCCAGCCUGCAGGACCCCCUUUAUUUUGGUAAGAUUAUCGAUAGGCUUCUUUUUUUUAAACUCAAAAAUGUGCAAAAAUACAGCUGUUCCCGGCCAGAUUCUCCCUUUCUGCAUCUUUGCAUGAGAUGGGGGCCCUGGCAAAGGGACCUCUCUUUGGGCUUAACAGAGGUAAAAGGAACGAGGCUCCUCUUACCUUGGCCAGGGUUCCCCCCCCUCUUCUGGGUGAGCAGAAAUCCUUGGAAGCUUAAAUUCACGUGUCUUUAUGUUUUUUCAUACAUCGAAAGGGGAAAAUACACCGAGGAGCCAAUAUUCCACUGGCACAUGGGACUGCAAGGGGAAAGCUGCCGCAGCCCCAGAUAAUCACCGCAGCUAUCAGGGGCUUCAGGGCUGUGUUUUUUUUAAAGACAAACCCCUUUUUUCCUAUUUUCUCCACCCAGCUGUGGCAGUUCUGCUUAAUAUAAAAUGUCAGAUGUACCCGAGUCCCACGGACAUCAGCUUUUCAAGUACCAACUCAGGAGCAUUCCCUAAGCGUUGGUGAAAAUAAAGCCUGUUUUGGGGCUGGGGGAUGAUAUAAUUUCUAUUUAAUGAAGCAGGCGAGGGUGCGUGGGAAGAGGCUGAGCUCAGGGGAGCUGCUGGCGGGCUGGGGUGAAUGCAAUGCUGGGGAGGCACGUGCUGGCUCAGGGCCACCGCGAAUAGCUCUGACAUAACGGCUCUUAAAAUAAUAAUAAUAAUAAUUUCCAUGUUUUUCUUUCUAUGAUGUACCUCUCUAGCAGAACCCCCCGACGAAACCAUUGGACCUCUGCAAAGACAGCGCAUCUGUGUUUCAUUUUAUAGCUGAAGAAUAGUAAUUAAGAUGCUUUUGCAGAGCCAGGGCUUGGAAAACUAAAAAUAAAAGCCAUAUAGGCACAAUACCAGACCUCCAAGCACCAUAAACUUGCCUUUCCCCCCCGUUUUCACCCUCCAAGACCCAUCAGACCCCCGAGCAUGGCUCAUUUCAGAGCCGAGCCCCGCAUCGUUUCAGGGAGCGGAGCGGCAGGUCUGGGGUGUGCUGCGGAGGCAGGAAUAAAUAGCGGGCUGAAAGGGAAUGGUGCGGAGAAGGGGGAUUUUUGGCUAAAUCCAGAGGAGCCAUGCAAACGCUGUCCUACAUGGAGGGGAAAGCAUCCCUGUGGGUAUCAAGGGGAGGUUUUACGAAGCCUGAAAAAUUGGGGGUGUCAUGCAAAGCAUCAGGGCUGCCUCUUUUCUUGCAGCAAAGUGUGUACAAACCGUGGUCCCCAGGCCUGAAAUGACUUUUCUCCCCUCUUUCUCACAUUUGAGCUGUGACUAUUGCAGGAAAAAAAAAAAAGAAAAAGCUGUUUUCUGGCUCUCCACCACCC